rnacentral:sRNA from 1 species
UUAAUUUUAUAUAUAGUAACAUUAUACAUACCACAUAACAUUUUUGGUUUUAUAUAAUCUUUUCUAAAUUAGGAUGAUUUGAUAUGUUUAAUAUUAGUGGUUUUACAAAAUAAUAAAUUAAAGAUUUAACCCGUAUUGAAACGGUGGAUUAAUCAUAUUUUACUUUUUUAUUAAUGUUGAUUCAAAAACCCGUCUCUCCAAAUUCGUCUUGCCAAAAAGUCAUUUAGUUUAUU